AUAUGUACCUGGCAGGGGAGAUACCAAGAUCACAAAGGUAGUUUCCCAGGGUGAGGCUUAGCCGUUGUUUUCCAGAUAUGCUGACCCCUGAGAUUUCCCCAAAUGUAGGACAACUGACUGCAUAAUUUGUGGUAGUGGGGGACUAUGUUUGCAUUUUCCCUUA
ensembl:snRNA U1 U1 spliceosomal RNA